UCUUUUGUUUGUUGUUGUUGUGAGGGAGAGAGCAUUUCUGUCGUCUAUACACAAAACUUUCCAUUUCACUUACAAGAUGGUGAAAAGAACGAACCUUGCUUAUUAUACACGGUUUUUAACGCUAUAACACUUCUUUACUUGGAUUUUACUCUCAAAAACUAUGACUGUGUUGGUGAUAGAACCCUGGCAGGAAGAGGUGACGUUGCCUUGGAUAUUCAGAGUGAGGGAGACUGGCAGAAGACACAAGGUUCGGAGGCCUCCAGAGAGCUGCCCAGAGUGAAGCUUGUGGUAUAGAGGAACAGCUGCUGAUCAUCAAGCUUACGGAAUGACUGGAGGAAAGUGGGAGGAGCCUGGAGGGAGUGGUGGAGAUACCAGGAUAUGUAACCACCACCACCACCACCACCACCACCACCACCACCACCACCACCACCAUUGGAGUCCCCUCUGUAGUUGCACAUUACGGCCCUGUUGUGUACCCUGGUGGCCUUCAUAGUUGACCGCUGAGUGCAGCUGUCGGUGACUGCAGGAAUGGACCUCAGAUGGCGGACACAACAGCAUUACCAAGUCAAGAAGUUGUCCAGUAUUUUAUCUCUGCUCUCAAACAAGCAAUGACCAGUGGUGGUGUUGUUCAUGUCUGGCUUGUGUGUGUGUGUGUGUGUGUGUGUGUGUGUGUGUGUGUGUGUGUGUGUGUGUGUGUGUGUGUGUGUGUGUGUGUGUGUGUGUGUGUGUGUGUGUGUGUGUGUGAGUUUGUUCAUCCAUUAUGAUUUGAAGAGAUUGUGUUUGUAUUUUUAUUGUGGGACUCUGUGAUUAUACUUUGAAAUGAUACGGCCUUAAAAUUGACCUUUGACCCUGUGUGGUAGUGGAGUGAGGCUUGUGACAGUUAGGAAUUGGUUGUCAAAAAGUGACCACAUUGGUUUUUCCUCAGUUGCUUUAGCCAUGAAAGUUCUAUUCCUUGUGUUCUUUGUCAUGACGAUGUUUGAUUCCCUUGGUUUCCAAUUGGUUGCCUUUGUGUGAGUUUUGAUCCAGUCAUUUACUUCCCUACUUACUGAAUUCCAGGAAACAAAGGGAUUGCUUGCUCCUUUUGCUUCCUUGUGGACAAAUUCACUGCUAAUAGUUUGUUAUUUGGAAGUUUGAUUGAAGGCUUGUUCCUCCCUCUCCUCCACCCUAUGACUACUUGAUGCUAUCUAGUAAAAUUCUUCACAAUGAUGUUUUCCAUGCCUUCGCUGCCCUAAACCCUUGGAAAGCUUGGAGGGGUCCCUCCUCUUGUUCUUCAAAACUGCAUUUCUGUGCUUGCACCUUGCCAAGUCAAACUCUUUCAACUCUGUGUGUCAACAUGUAAUAAUAUUACUUCUUGCUGGAAGUUUGCCUACAUUCAGCCUGUUCCUGAAAAGGGUGACCAUUCUAAUCCCUCAUACUACUGUCCUGUUGCUUUAAUUUUCUGCCUAUCUGAAGUUUUUGAAUUUAUCCUCAAAAGGAAGAUUCUUAAACAUCUAUCACUUGACAACUUUCUAUCUAAUUGCCAGUAUGUGUUCCAUAAUGGCCAGACAAAAGAAAACAUGUGUUCAGUGGCUUCAGCCACCACCAAUGGUCUCUCUUUUUAAGAUUUCCUGCUUAACUAAUGUUUAAGUAUCUCAUUACAAAGAUAAGAAUAUAGAUAUCAUAAAGAUGGUUAUUUAUAUUGAUUAGCAUAUUAGCAUUAUGAAUGUUCCUGUUCAUACGAUUAUAACUAUCAGCAGAAAAAAUUGUAUAACAUGUGUCAUUCAUUUACUUGAAGCUGCAUUGUCAAGGAAGCUUGAUACACUUUUCAGUGAUGUGUUUAUGUGCUAACAUAUGUGUGCUUGGAGCAUAAAAGAUAGUCUACACUAUAUUUUGACAGAUAAACAGUUGGUAUGAAAAAAUUACUUUUACAUACAGCACUUACUUAAUUUGCAUUUGGGGACCAUCUCUUUCAAAAUAGUCCAUUUGAGCAGCAAUACAGCAGCACAUUCAGCACUGUUGUCACCCCUGAAACUUAUUCUGGAAGUGUUGUUCUCUAAGCAUGUCAAGCAUCUACUGUUUGUGCAGAAUCAUCUCCACAAUGGACAGAAGAAGCAUCAGGCCAAAGUCUGUCAGGAAUUCUGUCAGCCAGCCAUGAAUGACCCAACCUUCAUGUCAAAGGACAUCUCUGGGAACAAAAUUUGGGUUUACAGGUAUAACCCCCUAACCCAAACAAGUCUUUACAAUAGAAGAGUCCAGCAUCUCCAUGCAGGGCAUGGUUCAGGUCUGGAAAACCACUAAGACCAUUUUUAUUCAAUGUCUUUGAGAUUCAUAGGAUAGUUCAUCAUGAAUUCAUCCCCCAAAAAAGAUCAUCAACUGCCAGUUCUACUCAAGUGUUUUGAGGCAUCUGAGGACAUUAAUUUUGGCAGAUAUGGCUUGAAAUGUGGUGCAAGGCUAAAUGGAUGCUCCAUGAUGAUGAUGAUGAUGAUGAUGAUGAUGCACCCUCUCUUACAUAUUAUCUCUUAUAAUGCAUGGGCUUCUCAGAUGCAUGAUUAUCCCUUUGCAGCUGCCCUACUCAUCAGAUUUGGUACCAACCCUUGUGACUUGUGUCAUGCUCCCCACAUGGACAUUCAUUCUAUGGAAACAAUGAGAAAUUGAUCUCAAGAUGAGAUAAGUCUUUAGCCAUGACAAGUUGUAGCCAGCCAGGGAUUGAACCUCUCACUGAGAGAACACAAGGAUGACACCUUAGACAUUGAGACCAUGAUGACUGUCAGGUCCCAAGUUCAGUUUUAGGACAUUUAUACUCCUAAUCUCUGCACUUUUUUUUUCCUGGAAAUAAUAAAGAUGCAGCUGAAGGGAUGCUCUUUUGACACCAUGGGGUAGGUUCAUUAGAUUAGAUUAGAUGUGAUUUACUUUAGAGUUUUAAUGAAAGCAAUGGCAAAAAAAGACUAUGGUUCCAGCCUGUGUGAGACAACCCUCAAGAAUUUAAAUAUUUCCAAACUACUUAUAGCAUUCAGAUUGUUCAUGGAUACAACUGAAGGUAAUACAAACAUAGGAGUUGUAAAAAUAUUUUUUUAAAUAAUGAAUUAAGACUUAUACAGUACACAAACAUUCAUUAAAAGACCACACUGAGCCACUGUUUACACAAACAGCUGAUGAAUGCUCACUGUUGAUGUCACUAUCAAUGGUGGCAGCUGCAGCAGUUACAGCUCAUUCUUCUCACCAAACUUGCAUCACUGUGUAUAGUGCUAGUGAUGUUGGGAUUGGAACUGCACUUGCUACCUCGAUAUCAGUGUUACAGACAUUUUUACAAUUUGUUGCGGACCAUCCAUGCAGUAGGCUUUAAAUUCCGUUGGGGUACGACUCGCAAGCAAGCUGAUCCCAGGCACUAUACGUGAUUUGCAUCAGAAUACUGCACAUUAGUGGCGAGCCGACUGUAGUCACCACAAAAGAAAUCUAUACAGCAAAAAUGCAGGUGAAAAGCACAUAUGGAAAAAAUGUGGAUAUAUUUGAGUUGCAUAUCCAUCAUGUGCUAGAACACAGUCAUCAUACAUCUCACAGCAGCUGAGACGCUUGUGUAGCUAUUCAUACACAUCCCACACCAGUGCUGGUCCAGCUGCCACGGAAGCAGCAUCCAUAACUGACGACUCCAUCAGGCUUCACGCGACCCAUCAUUGACUAAUUUUGGAUGCUUACAGUUUUGUUGCUGUGCUUUACCAUAGGUCACCAGGAGCUGAAAAUGAAAGAAAAAGCACAUUCCUUGGCAUAGCUGCAGCAGGGAGUGUUAGUGAUAUAUAUGGCAGCUGAUCUUGUGUUGACCCAGAAAGCCAUUUACCAGCUUAAAAACUCCACUGUCACCCUCCUGCCUCCAGGCUUAGCAUUAAUGCCCCCCCCCCUGAAAAAAAACUCUUAAAUCCCCCCCAAAAAAGUUUAAGUGGUUAUUUCAGGGGGUUUUAGAAAAUAUAUUUUACUAAUCAAGAUUUAGUUGUAUAUUAUAUUGAUAAUUAAGGUCUAUAUAUAUACAUACACAUUAAAAUUGUAAAAGUAGUCAAGUCUGUCCCAUUAAAUUCCUAACCUGUAUCAGCAUGACCUAAACAAGUGUGUGUUCUUCAUUAAAAGAGUGUCAAAAUC